GGAGAUGUCAUGGUCCAAGGGUAGAGCAUCUGGUUGGCACACAGACGAUCCCGGGUUCGAUCCCCAGGGUCUCUA
rnacentral:tRNA from 1 species